UGUGCCAAUGAGGACCACAUUGGCAUUUGAGUUGCAGUUAAUGAGUACAUAUUUAGAAUUCUGAAGUCCAC